rnacentral:rRNA from 1 species
UACGUAGGUGGCAAGCGUUAUCCGGAAUUAUUGGGCGUAAAGCGCGCGUAGGCGGUUUCUUAAGUCUGAUGUGAAAGCCCACGGCUCAACCGUGGAGGGUCAUUGGAAACUGGGAAACUUGAGUACAGAAGAGGAAAGUGGAAUUCCAUGUGUAGCGGUGAAAUGCGCAGAGAUAUGGAGGAACACCAGUGGCGAAGGCGACUUUCUGGUCUGUAACUGACGCUGAUGUGCGAAAGCGUGGGGAUCAAACAGGAUUAGAUACCCUGGUAGUCCACGCCGUAAACGAUGAGUGCUAAGUGUUAGGGGGUUUCCGCCCCUUAGUGCUGCAGCUAACGCAUUAAGCACUCCGCCUGGGGAGUACGACCGCAAGGUUGAA